CGAACAGGACCGUGAAACGCCUUUGCGCCGAUGAUAGUUGGCAUUCGCCUGUGAAAGUAGGUCAUCGUCAGGC
rnacentral:rRNA from 1 species